GAUGAACGCUGGCGGCAUGCCUUACACAUGCAAGUCGAACGGCAGCACGGGGCAACCUGGUGGCGAGUGGCGAACGGGUGAGUAAUGCAUCGGAACGUGCCAUUGAGUGGGGGAUAACGUAGCGAAAGUUGCGCUAAUACCGCAUAUUCUGUGAGCAGGAAAGCAGGGGACCGCAAGGCCUUGCGCUCUUUGAGCGGCCGAUGUCAGAUUAGCUAGUUGGUGAGGUAACGGCUUACCAAGGCGACGAUCUGUAGCGGGUCUGAGAGGAUGAUCCGCCACACUGGAACUGAGACACGGUCCAGACUCCUACGGGAGGCAGCAGUGGGGAAUUUUGGACAAUGGGCGCAAGCCUGAUCCAGCCAUGCCGCGUGAGUGAAGAAGGCCUUCGGGUUGUAAAGCUCUUUCGCCGGGAAGAAAUCGCAUGGGUUAAUACCCUGUGUGGAUGACGGUACCGGAAUAAGAAGCACCGGCUAACUACGUGACCG
rnacentral:rRNA from 1 species